GGAGAGGUACCCGAAGCGGCCCAACGGGGGUCCGGUGCUUUCCGGUCCGGGUGUGAAAGCCCUCGCAGGUUCGAAUCCUGCCCUCUCCGCCA
rnacentral:tRNA from 1 species